UUCCGGUUGAUCCUGCCGGACCCGACUGCUAUUUGGGUGAGGAUAAGCCAUGCGAGUUGAAUGGGAAACCUAAAAAUCCCAUGGCAAACUGCUCAGUAACACAUGAUCAACUUACCCUAUAGAGGAAAAUAACCUCGGGAAACUGAGGAUAAUGUUCCAUAGUUGAAUCGGCUUGGAAAAGUUUUUCAAUAAAAGGGAUAAGGAAAAUGGUCCUUAUCUGCUAUAGGAUAGGAUCGUGCUCGAUUAUGGUUGUUGGUGAGGUAAAGGCUCACCAAGCCGAUAAUCGAUAGGGGCCGUGAGAGCGGGAGCCCCGAGAUGGGUACUGAGACAACGACCCAGGCCUUACGAGGCGCAGCAGGCGCGAAACCUCCGCAAUACACGAAAGUGUGACGGGGUUACCCAAAGUGUUCAUUAGAACUGUGGUAGGUGAGUAAUGUUCCCUACUAGAAAGGAGAGGGCAAGGCUGGUGCCAGCCGCCGCGGUAAAACCAGCUCUUCAAGUGGUCGGGAUAAUUAUUGGGCUUAAAGUGUCCGUAGCCGGUUUAGUAAGUUCCUGGUAAAAUCGGGUAGCUUAACUAUCUAUAUGCUAGGAAUACUGCUAUACUAGAGGGCGGGAGAGGUCUGAGGUACUACAGGGGUAGGGGUGAAAUCUUAUAAUCCUUGUAGGACCACCAGUGGCGAAGGCGACAGACUGGAACGCGCCUGACGGUGAGGGACGAAAGCCAGGGGAGCGAGCCGGAUUAGAUACCCGGGUAGUCCUGGCCGUAAACGAUGCAUACUAGGUGAUGGCACGGCCAUGAGCCGUGUCAGUGCCGUAGGGAAACCGUUUAAGUGUGCCGCCUGGGAAGUACGGUCGCAAGGCUAAAACUUAAAGGAAUUGGCGGGGGAGCACCACAAGGGGUGAAGCCUGCGGUUCAAUUGGAUUCAACGCCGGAAAUCACUAGUGCGGCC
rnacentral:rRNA from 1 species